rnacentral:rRNA from 1 species
CCUACGGGUGGCAGCAGUGAGGAAUAUUGGUCAAUGGACGAGAGUCUGAACCAGCCAAGUAGCGUGAAGGAUGACUGCCCUAUGGGUUGUAAACUUCUUUUAUCUGGGAAUAAAACGUUCCACGUGUGGGAUUUUGUAUGUACCAUAUGAAUAAGGAUCGGCUAACUCCGUGCCAGCAGCCGCGGUAAUACGGAGGAUCCGAGCGUUAUCCGGAUUUAUUGGGUUUAAAGGGAGCGUAGGCGGAUUGUUAAGUCAGUUGUGAAAGUUUGCGGCUCAACCGUAAAAUUGCAGUUGAAACUGGCAGUCUUGAGUACAGUAGAGGUGGGCGGAAUUCGUGGUGUAGCGGUGAAAUGCUUAGAUAUCGCGAAGAACUCCGAUUGCGAAGGCAGUUCACUGGACUGCAACUGACACUGAGGCUCGAAAGUGUGGGUAUCAAACAGGAUUAGAUACCCCAGUAGUC